CGCAGCACACCUAGGCGGGACCGGAUGAAGGAUGGCUCUAGUUGCGCAACGCCCAGCCCGGGCUGGAUUCGCCUAGUGCCGCACGUGGUCGCCUGCCCGCAGCCCCCUCCCCAGCCCAACCAUUCGCUUUUCCCCCACCCACCCCGACCCCAGAAGAUUGCAGCCCAGCGAUCCAGACGCAUCUCUCUCGGUCUCUCUCUCUCCCUCGAUCCGGAGCGCAGCAAUUGAAGCGAAGAUGCCAAUCGGGAUGAAGGCGCCUUUGGCCAUCCUCUUGGCCGCCUGCCUCUGCGUGGACGGCGUUUUCUCCCUGGUCUUAUUGGUGUUGAGGAC